AUUAACUUUUUUUUCUUCAGGUUUUGUUACUGAAGUAAAAUCCAAUGAAGUAAAAGUAUGGCGUGAUUCAAGCAGGUUGAGUGAGUCCAAUGAAAUGGAAAGUGACAGUGCUUCCAACAAGCAUGCUGAUAAAUGGGCAAAGAAUAAAAAGGGGAAAUUCAAUUUGAUAUGUUUCUUUGAUUCUUUACUCAUAUUUUUCUAAUACAAAAGUUGUCGUCAAUUUGUGAAGGAUGGCGGCCCAAUGGAAUUUUAUGGCAGAUAUGACUGUUCAAGUACCAAAUUUUAUGGCAUCUUCUCUAUGCACAAAUAAACCUAAAAAAACCUUAACUCCUUUCAAUUGUAUUCCCAAGCUGCAGAAUCAUGCCACCACCCCGAGGGUUCUACUUCGACGCAGAGAAGAAACGCUAUUUCCUAAUAAAAAACCCCAAUCCCGAUCAGGUAUUACAAUAAUUUCUCAAUUCCAUAUCAUUUCUAAUGUUUGAUUGAAUCCAGUUGAAUUGAAUUGAAUUUCGUAACAGAAGAAAAGAAUAAAAGUUCUUGUAGGAAGUUUCAUAAUCAACGUCGAAGCUGCUUCAGAUUAGGGAGUUAGACGUUCGUCAUGUUAGUGCCUCACAUUGUUGCAAGUGUAACUUCACUGACAAAUUACAUAGAAGACGAACGUCUCAGCUUACCGUAUGUUUGAUUUUGUUUUUUUUUUAUAAUGUGAUUCUUUAUGUUUGAGUUGAUUUUAAUGUAGGAUUAGAAUUUGAAGGUUUGGAAGUAUGAAGGAGUUGAUAGGAUGUGUAUUAGUGCUUUAGAACACUUGAAUGUUGAUGUGCAGAUACUAGAAAGUAGAAUUUGGAAUGAUGUUUUGUUGAGUGAAAGCAUAAGUGGCCCGCUGAGGUAGUUGGUGUUCAUGUGAGAAUGAAAUAACCAAAAGGGACAUAUUUGUUUUAGUUCAGUAGCAUUAACCAUUGGAUAUAGCAUGAAUUAGUUGAAGGGCAGAUAAAGCAUUCAAUAAUCGUCUUUAGAAGGAAUAUAGAGCCCUUCGUAAAGUAAGUAUAUAAUCCUUUAUUUUUCAUACUAACAUUGUGCUUCACUAUUUACUUUUAUUCACAGUUCCAAUGCUUACUAUUUUGUUGUACAAUUAUAGAGUUUUUGGGCGUGAAUAUGCUUAUGUAGGAAUGCUUUUCAUUAUUUAACUCUCAACAUUUGAAAGAUCUAGAGUAACUCCCUUCUGAUUUGAAAUAGUUAAACAUGUGUUGGUGUUGGUUAUUGUUUCUGAAAGGGGUUUCUGGUGUUAUGGCAGAAUUUAGAUGAAUUAAUAGAUAAUUAUGGACUAGAAGAUAUGUUUAUAGAGUAUGAGAAUAUUUUGCUGAGCAAAGUUAUCAUGUCUGAGGAUGGCAAAAGCAAAGAACAUGGCUUUGUUCAAUUUGAAAAAGAUAAAUCUAUUAAUACUUUUAUUGGAAAACUGAUUGGCUCUAUUAUCCAUGAUAAGCAUAUGUAAGUAAAUUUAUGCAUUGUUUUGUAAUAAUUUUUUCAUCUUCCAUAUAUGUUCAUGCUUUGAAUUAUAUACAAUUCUUGGGGGGUUUAAAGUUAAUAGUUGUAUUCACUUUAUGUACUAAUGUUAUUUCUUGAGAUUGAUUUAAUGGAAUUAGAUUAAUCUACACAGAAGCGAAAUGUACUGUUGGUAGAGAAGGAACCAAUGCUUGAGUGAUUUUUUAUGCAUUAAAUAUGACACUGAAAUGGCUAAGUGACACUACGAAACCUGCAUAAUUUGAAAUAGUGUAGAUUAUUCUUUCUGUUAACUAUUUUCUUUACUUUAUGUUUCUCAUAUUCUUAGUUUUACUUCAAUACAAUAUAUGUUGAGUAGCUUAAAAGUUGCAUCUGAAGCUGUAAGUAAGCUAUAAUAAGCCAUAAUGGGGAAGCAAAUGUCUAAUUGAUGCAGGUUCAUCUUCGCGGAGAAAAUGCAUUGCCGUGACACAAUGAACAUGCACAUGAGAAAAGAUUAAGGUGUCACAUGAGCAGGAAGGUAAACCAAAAAAAGUUUCAAACUUAGAAGAUUGAAAUAUAAUGGUUGAGAAAUCAUAUUGCAAGUUGAAAUACCUAUGAAUCUUUUUGUGCAAAAGCAAGCAGUAAUUGAAAAGCCAUCUUUGUAUGCAGAUUUCUACAAAGAUAAUACUAUUUAUUAUUAAAGAGUAAUUCAUAUUCAAAAGAUGAGCAUCAGAAGUUCAGAUGUGGGCUGAUCUUCUGAUGGUUACUCAGAAGAUAGUGUUGACCAGAAGUUUUACCUUCUGGGUCCAGAUAGCGUAGCUAUUUAGUUAAAGGGUACUUUAGUAUUUGUUGGUAUUGUAUUGUUUGUACCUUUAGACUUGUUCACUAAGUUUACUCUAUUAGGGCUUACGUGGCAAGAUUUUCUUUGUAUAAAUAGCCUUGUAGUAGCUAUCAUUUAACAACACAAG